CAAUGUUACAAUAGUAUAAAUUAACAAUGGACACACACGUAGAUGUGUGAGAUUGAAAUGUUUAUUCAUAACACAGUGUCUGAUUUCAAAAGAUUGUCUCAUUAAUAGGAUGACUUGCAUAAGAUAAAUUGUCGUAUCAGAAAAUCGUAAUUAUUCACAUUGAAAAGUGUUUGUUUAUUAACGAUUCCAUUUAAAAAACCAA
rnacentral:lncRNA from 1 species